UACGUAGGUGGCAAGCGUUGUCCGGAUUUACUGGGCGUAAAGGGCGUGCAGGCGGUCUGUUAAGUCUAGGGUGAAAGCUCCCGGCUCAACUGGGAGAGGUCCUUGGAUACUGGCGGACUUGAGGGAGGCAGAGGAAAGUGGAAUUCCCGGUGUAGUGGUGAUAUGCGUAGAUAUCGGGAGGAACACCAGUGGCGAAGGCGGCUUUCUGGGCCUUACCUGACGCUGAGGUGCGAAAGCGUGGGGAGCAAACAGG
rnacentral:rRNA from 1 species